GCCAACCUGUCGCGGCAGAGGUGGAGGCGGUUAGGAAUUGCGAAAAGCUGAGCAUCGGUGGUGAGGAACCGCCAGGAGUCGGCGUCUCCUGGCUUGGCGUUUCCUCUCUAGCCCAAGGAGCCCAGCUGUGUGACCCGCGCGCCACCCCGUGGACCAGGCGGGAACCGCAGUGUUCCGGGGACCGUUCUGACAUCUGGAAGGAAGCGUGGAAAGGAGACCCCCGCCUAGACAUCUUCCCACCUAGACAUCUCCCCUAACAGCUACGGUACACGCUGCACUGGAGUCUGGGGGUGAAGGGUCCCCCAGUAGGGGGCGCCCUCUGAGGCAGGCUCACCGUCAACCCAUCCGUCAUGAACAGUACCAGGGCGCCCGUGAUGUGGAUGGCAAAGAAGGAAUAAGGGGCUCCUCUGAGGUUCUUCCUUUGGCAGCAGCUGAACAGGUCCUCAUGCCCUGCAGGAGGCACAGGAAGAACAGGGGUCUCUCCUGGAAGGAACGGGCCCAAAGCCGCAUUCUUUCCAAAACAAUGGAUGGGCAUGGGCUGAAAAGGGAAGGAGCAGACGGAGAGGGUGGGUUUAUGAGAGCCCCCAGAGGAGAUUCGGGCCAGGGAAAGGAAAUCUACAAAGGAAAGGAAGGAAAAGGACUGGUGAUGAGGGGGCAGCAGGUAGAUGGUCUAUGCUGAGGGUCAGGGCUUCCAGCCGGGCUCAGCCUCCUAUCAGUCCCUUGUCAGGGCUUUGAGCUGGUGAUGGCAUGACACCCCCACCCUUGCCCUGCUGCUCACUGGAAUGGUGGUCUCAAAGGCUCCUUUCAGUGCUAUGUGUGUGGCAUAUUCUGAGGCUCAGCAGCAGCUGGGCAGCUGCUCUAGUGCCUGAGUCCAGCCCACCUGCCCCAGGAGAGCUGAGAAGUCCACCUACUGCAAAGAGAGGCUCUAAGCCACCAUGACAAGCAGCAUGGUGCCUCCAUCCCACAGCCAAGACAGUGGCCACUGUAAUGCUCCCCACCCCCGGCCCAGGAGCCAGGGAUGCUCUGGUGUUCCCGACAGUCCUCCCCAACCCAGGUGGAUGGGGGUAGGGGGUCUCCCCACCUGACACUCUGGCUCCAGUCUGGGCUAACGUGAGAGAUCCCAACUUGGGUUUGCAGAGCACCAGAGGAGGUUUCCAGCUGGAGGCCAGAGUCAGUGCUGACUUGGCAGGGGUGUACAAAGCGGGCCUCGGUAUGUGACGCAGUCACGGGGUGAAGUGGUCUCUCGCUGUUCCCACCAUAGGCUGCCUUGGCAGGCAGGGCCCUUCAGAGGUCAUCUUGUCUGUCUCCUAGCCUCCACAGGAGCCCCUGACAGGAGGGCACAGGAGAAUCCCACCAUUGAUGAAGGGACCCAGAGAAAAACCUUCCACUUCCUGCCGGGGUCUGUCCAGGGUCCACUUCAUCUGGCCUUGGAGGAAAAAACUAGUUUCCCACAGAACCUCAGAUAAUUCGAAAGUUGACCCUGAUUUUCACUGUGCUCAGCUCACUGUUUUACCCUCCUUGAGAACUGCAAUCACAGGUCGCUGAAGGAUGGUGGAGUAGUGCAGGGGAUCCCGGGGAGGGUUUGUCCUCCCAUCCUCCUGCCUCUGGGAUGCACACCUCAGCCCCAGCACGUUUCUCAGCAUCUGAAGAAUCUUCACUGGGUGUGGGGUGGACUGGGAUGUGUGGACUGUCCACUAGCUCCCUACCUGGCCCACCCCAGGGACACUCACAU